AUUCCCCCAAAAUAACCUAAAACCGCCCAACCUUGACCUAAUAUGAUCCUAGACCCCUACACAACAGAACGGCGCAUCAGACCCCCUCCCUUCCUUUUCUUCUGAAAUUUCUUUCUUCCUCCUUGAAGAUCCAGCCAUGGAACUCAACUCAUCUCCUCCAUUUUAACUCUCAGAAACCCAGCGUCAUCUCCUUCUCCAAACAGCCCAGAAACGCUCUCUUUUUAGCCAAAACCAGCUGAAAAUCAACUUCAAAACGCCUCAAAAACCGAACCCCCCUCCCCAUCUGAGAAGCAACGCCUUUUUCUGGCUUUUUCUUCCUCAUAAACACACAUGGAAAACUAAGAAAAAAUGCAGAAAUGGCAGAAAGCAAAAGUUCAGCGAUCCAAAAUUGGAUCCGAGAUCUGCAACAGCGAAAACUUUCAAAAGAAAAGAAGUAAAAGUAGUAUAGAAAGGAAUCUCUGAAGUGAUGGAAGCUACUGUCGAUUUAUUUUGUGGUUGGUUUGGGAAUUUUUGUAUAUUUUAGUUGAUUUUUGGCUGGGAUUAGUGCUAUUUUCUGGCGAUUCUAUGGUUGACUUCGCUGAGCUUUAGGCUUUGAAGUUUUCUCUGAUUUCAUCGUUAAUUGAGGGCUUUUCUUUGCUGUUGCUAGUUUUGCUGCUGAGGCCACUAGAAUUAAACCUUGAUUUGGUCUUUUGGAUUUAUGGCAAAGGUAUGAUUUCUAAUUUCAAAUGAUGUAAUGGUUGUUUGGAUGGUGAUAUGUUAUGAAAUUCGUGAUGAUUAUGCACCUAAACACUUGAAGAUUUUAUUUUAGUUUCAGCGCGAAAUGGGAUAUGGUCUAUGUUAAUCUCGAAUCAUGUUUACUCUUCGAUGCAUCUGUUUGGUGUUGUUGGUUGCAUGUUGAUUAGUUUGAUGCGUUAUUUGGAUACUAGUGUUAUAGUGGGUUUUUUUAUUCUCUGUUGCAAUGCUUCUUUAGAUAGUAAGGUUUUGGCAUUAGUUAUUAAACUUCUUCUGAAAGAUAGAAAUGAACAUGUUUGGUCUUCAUUUUAUUUUUAUUAUUUAAAAUGAAAAGGACUUUAAAAUUUUGAUUGAGAAUUUUAUUCACUAGUAGGCCAAUGUUUGGUUUUGGCAACUGGAUAGUGGAUGUACAGGAGACUAUGAUAAAUAGACCUUCUGAAAUUGAAAGAUAAAGCUUUUUAUUUUAUGAAGUAGAUUAAGUUAUUUGGACUUUGAAUUUGACGAAUUGACUAGCUUGCCAUUUGAUCCAUAACGGCCAAUAACUACAAAUGCCUUCAGCUAUUAAUGAUUCGUAAUGUAGAUGAUUCUAUAAAGUAUAAUAGCAACUAAGUAAUACACUUCUCCGUCAAUGAACCAUUCCAUGACUUUGGACAUUAACAAAAAUCUCAAACCUAGAAAAUAAUUAACUUGAACAUCCAUAGAAUGCUUUAGGUACGUUCUUAAUUCAAUCAAUUAUUGUGAUUGUGUACACGUUCCCGUGACACAUUUGCGAUUCUCAAAAUAAAUUUAGGUACACGUUCGUGUGACUUUUGUCAAAUAAAGCAUGAUUAAUUGUGGACACGUACGCGUGACAUGAUUUUGACAUGCCAAAAGAAUUGAGUAUACGUACGCGUAACUCGUCUUAAGUUAAUUCUUUAAAUACGGAUUAUCAAGUGAUUAAUAGCGGUAAAAGGUAAAAUAAACAUAGGUCCUAAAUUGAGUAAUUAAACAAAAUAAGCCGAGUAUAAAUUGCUAAGAGACCGUGCUAGAACCACGGAACCCGGGAAUGCCUAACACCUUCUCCCGAGUUAACAGAUUUCCUUAUCUAGAAUUUCUGGUUCGCAGACUUUUAAAUAAAGUCGAAAAUUUCUUCAAUUUGAGAUUUAAAAAUAAAUCGGUAACUUGGGACAAAUAUCCAAGUGGCAACUCUGAAAAAUAAAUAAAAUAAUCUCAUUUCGAAUAAUGUCACUUUAAUUGGAAAAAAUUUCCUUAUAUAUCCCCUCAAGCGGGUAAAAAGGAGGUGUGACAGCUUUGACGACUCUGCUGGGGACAAGAACCCAGAACUUCUGGUUCAGGGUUCAAGAAUUCGAGCUUGUUAAUAUGAUUUUUACUUGGCUUUAUUUAUUGUUGAUAUUACUGUAUUUUAUGGACCUAAUGUGCUAAUUACCGUUUAUUUACCGCUUUGAUAUUACUUGAACUGUAUUAAAUUGUCUCCCUACGCCUCACUUGUGAGUCUUCUAAAAAACGGUGCACACGUUCGUGUGACCCACUUUUUCUGUUAGAAGUCAUUCCAAAAAGAACAAGGCUAGGCCACAACAAGGCUGGAUAGACUUUUGUGCUCCCGGUACGUUGCCCCCUCUUCAACUCGAGUUGUCCGUUCGGGUAAGUCAGGUUUAGAACACAACCCCAGGUUUAAACUUAGAAUAACGUAACCUCAUGUCGGAUUCCUGGUAGGAACGUUUAUUUGCAUCGCGUGCAUUUGACCUUAGGGACUCAACACAUGAGUUGGGUUCGUCUAGGACAGGUGUACCCGAAAUAACAGACCAUCUUGAUUCAUCCUACAUGCUUUGUGAACAUUUAUUUGUUUCGGCUUGCAUGUUGACUAGCUAGGAAAAGAUAAUCAAGAAAAAAAUCAAAAGUGAGGUAGGUAUUUGAAAAUCAUGAAACUCUUCCAAAAUUCUGGCUAAAAGAAAAAAGAAAAAGAAAAAAAAAAGUCAUUUCAAAAUUAGCCAAAAUUUUUCAAGUGGCAUGCUUCCUCUGUUCCAUCAAAACUGACCGAACUACGCAGGUCUGAUUCUCACCGGAUGUGAGAUACGUAGGCAAACCUCAUCGGUUCCGACCCCAAUUUUUUAAAAAAAUCCAAAAAUAUUUUCCUUUAGCUCUUCUUUAAAAAUCUUUCCUAAGAAAAUACAAAAAAAAAAAGAAGUUUUUAAACUCAAAAAAAAAAUAGUUUCCUUCUUUCUAAAGUCUCAUAUGAAAAAAAGAAAUAAAAAGAAAAAAAAUCAAAAAAUCAAAAUAAAAAAUACUGGUUUCCUUUAGAAAUAUUUUGAAGUAUUU
rnacentral:lncRNA from 1 species